CACAUGCAAGUCGAGCGGAGUUUAACUGACAGAAGCCUUCGGGCAGAAGACGAUUAAACUUAGUGGCGGACGGGUGAGUAACGCGUGGAUAACCUGCCUUAUAGAGGGGGACAACAGUUGGAAACGACUGCUAAUACCGCAUAAGGUCUCGAGACCGCAUGAUCUUGAGAAGAAAGAUGGCCUCUGAAAAUGCUAUCGCUAUAAGAUGGAUCCGCGUCUGAUUAGCUAGUUGGUGAGGUAACGGCUCACCAAGGCAACGAUCAGUAGCCGGCCUGAGAGGGUGAACGGCCACAUUGGGACUGAGACACGGCCCAAACUCCUACGGGAGGCAGCAGUGGGGAAUCUUCCGCAAUGGGCGAAAGCCUGACGGAGCAAUGCCGCGUGAAUGAAGAAGGCCUUCGGGUCGUAAAAUUCUGUCCUUAUUGAAGAGAGGUUCAUGUGUAAACAAUGCAUGAAUAGGACGGUAGAUAAGGAGGAAGCCCCGGCUAACUACGUG
rnacentral:rRNA from 1 species